GAUGAACGCUGGCGGCGUGCCUAAUACAUGCAAGUCGAGCGAACAGAUGAGGAGCCUGCUCCUCUGACGUUAGCGGCGGACGGGUGAGUAACACGUGGAUAACCUACCUAUAAGACUGGGAUAACUUCGGGAAACCGGAGCUAAUACCGGAUAAUAUAUUGAACCGCAUGGUUCAAUAGUGAAAGACGGUUUUGCUGUCACUUAUAGAUGGAUCCGCGCCGCAUUAGCUAGUUGGUAAGGUAACGGCUUACCAAGGCAACGAUGCGUAGCCGACCUGAGAGGGUGGUCGGCCACACUGGAACUGAGACACGGUCCAGACUCCUACGGGAGGCAGCAGUAGGGGAUCUUCCGCAAUGGGCGAAAGCCUGACGGAGCAACGCCGCGUGAGUGAUGAAGGUCUUCGGAUCGUAAAACUCUGUUAUUAGGGAAGAACAAAUGUGUAAGUAACUAUGCACGUCUUGACGGUACCGAAUCAGAAAGCCACGGCUAACUACGUG
rnacentral:rRNA from 1 species